GCUGGAAAUUCUGCCAGCGUAACGGCGACGUUACGGGCCGUAUUUCGUGUUACGGUCCGUAACAGUGGACCGUAACGUCCCGAAAAUUUCCAGAAACUCACUGGAAAUUUUCACCAAGAUACGGUACCAAGUUACGGUCCGUAUCUCGUGUUACGGGACCGUAACAGUGACCGUAUCUUGGUCCGUAUAUACGUUUCGGGUCACCUGACUUCGGGAGGCCAUAACCCUAUCAUAACUUGGGAAUUUGGGAAAACUCAAAGAACGAAAGUUGUAGAUAAUUGAAAAACCUUUCCAACCAUAGGUUGUGGGUUCACAGGAGACGUCGGGAUAAGGAGAUAUGGAUGUUUUAAGACAGCAAGGUCCCAACCCGUUUUCAAGUUGGGUCAACCCAUUUUCCCCUUGGUAUAUAAAGAAAAUAUUACCCUAACAGCCCAUUUUUCCUCCAAAACUCAGAUUUUAGAGAGAGGAAGUGAGAGAGAAGGGAAAUUAGAGAGAGAAAGUAGAAAAUCAACCAAGUUUAAGGCCCCGAAUCCCAAAGCUCGUGAAGGAAAAAGUGUAGUACAAGUCGUUGUCGUCAUUUUAAGCCCAAGAUCGGACUUGGGGGUGUUGAUUUCGUGGUGACUACCCAAAAGAUUGAAGUUGAAGGGGGUGAAGGACAUUGUGAUACGCCCAAAAGCGGAAGGUUAAGGUACUGAUAUACAGGACGACACAUCUGCUCAGUAGGACAGCAUUCGUAUCAGCUUAUUUGUGAGCCCCAUCUCAUUCGGGGUUUAGUCAACUUUUAUCUUAUGAUUAGUUAUGCAUCUAAAGGUAUGCUGGGGGCCUUGUCCCAGUAAGUAUGUUUUUCAGUCAGACUCAUGAUAGAGGUUUCAUAGACUAGAACAGACAGUUAUGUCAUGUCAGAUAAUCGAAGUCGCAUAGCCAUUUUGGCUCACUCAUGUUUAAACAAGUACUUUAUUAAGUAUUAUGACUUAUUAUGUUUUAUAAAGGCU